CCCCUUUUAAAAGCACUCCAUGGGCCCUGACCCGGGAGCCAUGGAGCCUUCUGGAAAGAGCAGGGGAAAAGCGCUGCUUAUAGGAGAAGCAGCUGCACAUUGUGUUGUUUUGCCUCAGUUGGUGUGAUGCAGUGU
rnacentral:snoRNA from 14 species